AUGAAAGUCAUUGUGUUGGUGACCAUGGCAAUGCUUCUUAUCAAUUCAUGCCCAUGUAUCCGUUCAAGGAACAUCGAAGGGAAUGCAAUGCAAGUGAAUGACAUGCGCAAACUGACUUCUAGUUCUGUUGAUGGAAGGAUUACCCCUCCUGAUGAGGGAAUACAUCAUGUGUGUCCACGAGGUAUCUACCCCUGCCAAGGGAUGUUCCACAGUUCCAUGGAGGGCACAGAAGGUGGAGGAAACUAA
rnacentral:rRNA from 1 species